GUGCUCGUUUCAGCAGCCCAUGUACUAAAAUUGGAACAAUACAGAGAUUAACAUGCCUUCUGCACAAGGAUGAUAUACUCAAACUCAUGAGGUGCUCCAUAUGAAA
rnacentral:snRNA from 1 species